rnacentral:rRNA from 1 species
AGAGUUUGAUCCUGGCUCAGGAUGAACGCUGGCUGUGUGCCUAAUACAUGCAUGUUGAACGAAACACUUUUGUGUUGAGUAGCGAAUGGGUGAGUAACACGUACUUAACCUACCCCCAAGAUUGGGACAACGUCUGGAAACGGGCGCUAAUACCAAAUACGUAUUUUUAUCGCAUGAUAGAAAUAUAAAAGGAGCUUUGGCUUCACUAGGGGAUGGGAGUGCGCUACAUUAGUUAGUUGGUAGGGUAAUGGCCUACCAAGACUAUGAUGUAUAGCGGGGCCGAGAGGCUGAUCCGCCACACUGGGACUGAGAUACGGCCCAGACUCCUACGGGAGGCAGCAGUAGGGAAUUUUCCACAAUGAACGAAAGUUUGAUGGAGCGACACAGCGUGCAGGAUGAAGGUCUUCGGAUCGUAAACUGCUGUUAUAAGAGAAGAAAAAAUUUGGGAGGUAAUGCCCAAAUCUUGACGGUACCUUAUCAGAAAGCGACGGCUAACUAUGUGCCAGCAGCCGCGGUAAUAAU